AAAAGAUCAGGCUCACAUGUAUCAUUUAGUGAGGAAACAUCAUCACGAACCAGAAGCCAGAAACAAUUUUCAAUGAACACAAGUGUAAGAUCAGGCUCACAUGUAUCCAGCUCUGUGUCAGUGAAGAGUGACCAUUCAAAAGGAGAUGGACCGAACUUCCAGGAGGAAACACCACGUAACAAAAGUGUAAGAUCAGGUUCACAUGUGUCCAGUUCUGUUUCUGUGAAGAGUGACCAUUCAAAAGGUGAUGGACC